rnacentral:misc_RNA from 1 species
GUUGGAAUAAAAGUAUUUCCCUCCGUGUUGAGAGCGGGAGAUAUUGCAUCUGUGAAGACAGGCAACUGGACCAAGUCUGUUCUAGCAGGCUCAGAAGCACUGCCAGUUUGCAUAUUGGACCAAGAACUAGAUGUCCCUAUUCCACACGAGGACAAAUAGAUUCUUGACCAGAAAUCAUCUGUCAUAUCAGGAGCACCUGUCUGAUUGAUUUCAUUUGGAUUACUCACAGCUGUUGUUUUCUGAACAUUAGAUUGCAUUUGAAUGUUCGU